GACAGAGGGUGCAACGUUGUUCGGAAUUACUGGGCGUAAAGCGCGUGUAGGCGGCUAAGUAAGUCGGGCGUGAAAUCCCACGGCUCAACCGUGGAAGUGCACUCGAAACUGCAUAGCUAGAGUCCUGGAGAGGAAGGUGGAAUGCUUGGUGGUAGAGGUGAAAUUCGUAGAUAUCAAGCGGAACACCGGUGGCGAAGGCAAUCCCCUGGGCCUGCACUGACGCUCAUGCACGAAAGCGUGGGGAGCAAACAGG
rnacentral:rRNA from 1 species